CCUACGGGUGGCUGCAGUGGGGAAUAUUGCACAAUGGGCGCAAGCCUGAUGCAGCCAUGCCGCGUGUGUGAAGAAGGCCUUCGGGUUGUAAAGCACUUUCAGCGGGGAGGAAGGCGUUAAGGUUAAUAACCUUGGCGAUUGACGUUACCCGCAGAAGAAGCACCGGCUAACUCCGUGCCAGCAGCCGCGGUAAUACGGAGGGUGCAAGCGUUAAUCGGAAUUACUGGGCGUAAAGCGCACGCAGGCGGUCUGUCAAGUCGGAUGUGAAAUCCCCGGGCUCAACCUGGGAACUGCAUUCGAAACUGGCAGGCUAGAGUCUUGUAGAGGGGGGUAGAAUUCCAGGUGGAGCGGUGAAAUGCGUAGAGAUCUGGAGGAAUACCGGUGGCGAAGGCGGCCCCCUGGACAAAGACUGACGCGCAGGUGCGAAAGCGUGGGGAGCAAACAGGAUUAGAUACCCUAGUAGUC
rnacentral:rRNA from 1 species